CGGGUGUAGUUCAAUGGCAGAACCCCAGCCUUCCAAGCUGGUCGUGUGGGUUCGAUUCCCAUCACCC
rnacentral:tRNA from 1 species